CCAAGCAAAGGGUGCCUGCACACACUGAAUAGUUUCCAGGUUCCUAACCUUCUUCCCUCCAACCCCUCCCUCUCCCCCCCCCAGUACCCAUACGUAUACAUUUUCCUUUAUUAGUGAUGUUGCAAUUUCUGUGCUAUCAAUUAUCUCUUGGAAGCAAAGGGGUUUCAGAGGAUCCUCUAGGCAAGUGCACUUACAGAAAAUGUUCUGAGGAAAUGCUUUCAGACGGUUUUGCAAACACCCACUAAUGUUUUAUACAUGCAAAGUAUUGUGGUGUUAGGAGGUUAAUAACAGGCUGCCAGUAUUAAACUCCACAGUAUUGAAUCAUAGCGUCACUUUAAAAUAUAUAUGUCAGGGCCACCCAUGUGAUUCUCUGAUUCAAGCAAUGAUAAGCACCUUGGGAAUUUAGAUCUCUUUGUUUUGUUUUGUUUUUUGAUUAAAAGCCAGCUCUGCAUUUGUUAGCCUAAUCAUACUAUUUAGAAUAAGUUGGCCAAAUAUCCACCUUUCCAAAACAGGGCAUAUUUACAAAAUUAAAUAGUAUUAUGUCAUCUGAGGGGGCCGGGUCUGUGCCUCAAACACAGAGAGAUGUUGCUCAUCACAGCAGUUCAAGUUGGACACAGACUGGUAACUCUGAAUCACUAAAGCCUUCCUGAGCAAUCUUAAAUAAAGCAGUGGUGCUCUUUUCCCUGGCUAGCCUGCAUGGUAAAUGGGGAUGUUCCAGCCCUGCUUGCUUUGCCAGAGUUCUGCUCCCUUAUACGGGUCAGGCACACUCAGCUCUCCACAUUUAGCAAUUUUUCUGAUGUAACUGUGACCAUAACCACUGGAGAAGGAACUGGAGGAACAGUGAUUUAAUCCAAACCAGACUGAGCAGUUCCUAGAUCCUUCUGUCACCAAAGAGAGUUUUCUCCCCCCGUGUUUCUUCCUGGGUUUGGCUGAGACUGCUACCACACCAAGCCCUUGCACAGUAAUGCAUCCCUGCUUGGAAGGGACUCCAACAUGAAGUGUGGAGAGACCACAGGCAAUGCUUGGCCCCAGGAGUGUCUCUCCAAGGCAAUUCUGGACACAACAGUCAUACAGUGACUACAGUUUCUGUAAACAUGCCCUAACUAGCUUCAAACUAGCAAGCACACUUACUGCUAAUAUUAGGUUAGGCUCUUAUGCAUUCUUGGAGGUCAAGGUGCUUAGGGAAGGAAAACAAAUCCCUGUUUUCUAAGGAAUGGAGUCCCACAGAGGCUCUGAGCUCCUGCAGCAUGGCCGGGGUUGUGUGCAAGCCAGGGUUUACUGCUAUAGGCUGCCCUCAUGCUCUCUGAGCUUCAAGAAUGGGUUUGAUGCUUAAAACCCUGAAAUGAAAGGAAUCCAGGGACGGGACUGUUGAAGUCACAUACUGGUUAGAAUAGGGUAAUCAACACAAACAGCAAGCAAAACAAUUACUGUAAUUACACGUCAAAUUUUGUUUGGGGAGUAAUGGAACCUAAUGCACAAAUAUGACGUUAUUUUCUUGCAUCAGCCUGGUGGUCCAGGACGGUAUAUAAAACCAUCCAUGAUUCAGACACCUUCCAGCAGGUUCUCGUGACUUCUCCUCGGUGAACAGAGUCUACAGCACGGCUAAACGAUGUCUUGUGAGAAAACCCUGUGCACGGACCCAUGUGCUGCUGUAGGCAACGUGAAAUGCCCUGAGCCCUGCGCUGCUGCCUGCAGUGAGCCCUCUGUCAUCGCCUGCCCUGACUCCCGUGUCAUCAUCUUCCCACCACCUGUGGUCGUCACCAUCCCAGGGCCCAUCCUCACCACCUACCCACAAGAGACCAUCGUGGGCUCCACGGAGUCAGCUGAGCUGGCCAGUGUUCUGGAGUCGGGUGUAGCCAUCGGCUCAGCACAGAAGGGGGCUGAAUGCGCACUGCCCUGUGCUGAGCCCUGUGCCACAAAGCUGGUCACAAAGUGCGAGGCCCCGUGUGUGGCACCAUGUCCACCCCCGUGUCCACCCCCGUGUCCAGCUCCGUGUCCAGCUCCGUGUCCAGCACCGUGUGUGCCCCAGUGUGUGCCCCAGUGUGUGCCCCAGUGUGAGCCCCAGUGCGUGCCUCAGUGUGUGCCGGAGCGCUCCUACACUUAUUCCACCCAAUGGAAGCACCCUUGCCAGAGAGGCUUCUGCAAGAAGCUCUAAUCAGCCUACAGCAGAGAAUAAUCACAGAAGAACAGCAAGCAAAGGAGUGAACGGAUAUGGAUCGUCAUUUACAGGCAUGGCUUUCAAGGUUCUUCCUACUGCAGAGGGAAGCACCCCAAAAUCAGGACCUUGCUUCUAAUUCCUGUAUAGUGCUUUAGCUUAGAUUAAUGCUUUCUUUAUUCUUGUGGCUUUGCAUCUUACAUCUGUGCUUUUAACUUCCUCUACACAGUUUGACUUUGUGAUUUAAACAAACAAAAAAGCAUACCUAGAGAUUUGAAUGUCACACUCAGCAAAAAUGAGGAAAAAGAAAAUCCUGAUGAAAUGCACCACACUGAAAUGGGUAACUGGUUCUAGCUUUCCUUGUUUCUAGAAAUAUACGCUUUUCUAGACUGCAUUAUUCUUUCUGCAAAUGUUUACUCCACUCUGCAUUCACAUUAAAAGGCUGCUGCAUCA
ensembl:lncRNA